CGUGUCGAGGCUUGUGCUUAGCGUGGCCCGAUAAUGGCGUCCUCUUCUGGCAGCAUCUGGCCUCCGUUGCUGUCUCUGUCAGGGCGAUUACAUGUGGAUCAUGCCUCAUGCGCAUAAAAAAGAAGGGAAUACACGGCUGCGGAUAUGCCUCUCAGAGUUGCAGGUAAUGUUGCUAUCAAACAAAAGAAGAUUAUUCUUCAUAAUUCUAGAUGCAGAGGAUGAUGGACCACCCACUGGAAUUAAGUUUUAUGAUUUGCAAAGUGAGCUCUUCUGAUGGCAUCUCUAAUGAAGAAUUGAAAUUGAUAAGCAUUGAGACCCUGUCUACAAAUCUGAUGAAUGGCCCAAGAGUGUAUAAGCACCACAAGAGCUUCUAUCGGUCAAAAACUCUUGUGGUGUUUAUAUAUUCUUCGGCUCAUCCAUCUAAAUGUUCAGAUUUUUAGAUGGGAUUUUAACAUGGUAUCAGAACCUCCAUGCUCCCACUUACUAAUCCAUGUGUUUUCUUUUAUUUCAGGUUCUGUCUCUCGGACUCUAUACAUGAGAGGAGAUGUUGAGGAAUAUUAGUCCCACAUCGGAUAUGGUGCUUAAUUCUGUUGGGCCCAUGCAUUCAAAUACUCGAGUUUUUAGAUAGGAUCUUAACAGCAUCCUCAUGAGAUUGUCAUCAAGCAGAGUGGAGGAGAACGAGCGAUCACACAAGCUGAACACUUUCUGUACCUAUGAUAUUGAUAUCAAACAAAAUGGCCACAUCGCAUCUGGUGAAAUACUGCACUAAUCAAGCAAUCAGUCUCAG
rnacentral:lncRNA from 1 species